rnacentral:lncRNA from 1 species
GAUCCCAGAGGUCUUCUCCAACCACAAUGAUUCUAUGGUUCUGUGGUUCUGUGAUGCUCUGCCCGUGUCACAGGCACCCCCGGCGACAGCCCUGUGGGUGCUUCCCAGUGCGUGCGGACAGGCAGAGCUGCUGGCCUCAACACAGCUGUGUCCCUGAGUCACUUAUGGGAUGAAGCCAGGAGCCCUUUAAAAAAUAUUUGGGAGCAGUCAUUAAGUUGAGAAUGGGAUAAACAGAAGAACUCAAGCCAUCCAUUCACCACAGCUUCCUAUUCCCCCUCGGAGGAGGCAGCAGAGGUGGGGACAGGCAGCACUGAGCUCUAGCACAGCGAUCAGCCCUGGCGAGCCCUGGGGACAGCCUUGGGGUCGGUCCUGGGCUCACCCUUGGGGUCAGCACUGUGGUAACAUAUGGGUCCUGUUGGUGACACUUUGCCAGGCUCUCCCAGCUGAUCUCUUUGCUGAUCUGGCCAUGCAGUGGAUUCCAGCACUGCAAAAAAGCCUGAGCUGUUUGUGCAGGGGGCACCAAUGUAUUGCAGAGUGUCAUUCUGGGGCUUGGAACCGCUGUUCCAGCUGCAGCAGCUCAGAAACUGUGCAAAGUUCUGUAGUAACAUGCAAAUUGCAGCAUUUUGGGGCGGGUCUGUAUGUAAAGCUUGUAAAUUAAUAAAC